rnacentral:rRNA from 1 species
AGUGAACGCUGGCGGCAGGCCUAAUACAUGCAAGUCGAACGGCAGCACAGCAGAGCUUGCUCUGUGGGUGGCGAGUGGCGGACGGGUGAGGAAUACAUGGGAAUCUGCCCAGUCGUGGGGGAUAACGUAUGGAAACGUACGCUAAUACCGCAUGCGCCCUAAGGGGGAAAGCCGGGGACCGCAAGGCCUGGCGCGAUUGGAUGAGCCCAUGUUCGAUUAGCUAGUUGGCGGGGUAAAGGCCCACCAAGGCGACGAUCGAUAGCUGGUCUGAGAGGAUGAUCAGCCACACUGGAACUGAGACACGGUCCAGACUCCUACGGGAGGCAGCAGUAGGGAAUAUUGGACAAUGGGGGCAACCCUGAUCCAGCCAUGCCGCGUGCAGG